GUGUUUGACUCCAGCAGUACAUUUUCUAAAAUUGGAACAAUACAGAGACAAUUAGCAUGGCCCCUGUGCAAGGAUGACAUGCAAAUUUGUGAAGCAGUCCUUAUUUUU
rfam:Octopus bimaculoides Scaffold3562_contig_53, whole genome shotgun sequence.